rnacentral:rRNA from 1 species
GACGAACGCUGGCGGCGUGCUUAACACAUGCAAGUCGAGCGGAGCGGCGAACGGGUGAGUAACGCGUGAGUAACUGCCCCCCUAUCUGGGAUAACAGUUGGAAACGGCUGCUAAUACCGGAUAGUGGGGGAUGCCUCGCGUCCUAUCAGCUUGUUGGUGGGGGAGUGGCCUACCAAGGCGACGACGGGUAGCCGGCCUGAGAGGGCGACCGGCCACCUUGGUCUGGGAUACGUGCCGAACUCCUACGGGAGGCAGCAGUGGGGAAUAUUUCACCAUGGUGGAAACCCUGAUGCAGCAACGCCGCGUGCGGGAUGACUGCCUUCUGGUUGUAAACCGCUUUCAGCCAUUACGCGGUAGUGGCACAAGAAGCACCGGCUAACUACGUGCCAGCAGCCGCGGUAAUAC